AAUCUACUCCUUCCGUCCCAAAAUUCUUGUCUUACAUUUGUCUAGAUACGGAUGCAUCUAGUACUAAAACGUGACUUGAUACAUCCGUGUUUAGACAAAUUUAAGACAAGAAUUUUGGGAUGGAGGGAGUAGAAA
rnacentral:pre_miRNA from 1 species